GACGAACGCUGGCGGCGUGCUUAACACAUGCAAGUCGAACGAUGAAACCUAGCUUGCUAGGUCGAUUAGUGGCGAACGGGUGAGUAACACGUGACUAACCUGCCCCUUUCUCUGGGAUAACGCUCCGAAAGGAGUGCUAAUACCGGAUACUCACACCGAGGCACAUGCCUUGGUGUGGAAAGUUUUUCGGAAAGGGAUGGAGUCGCGGCCUAUCAGCUUGUUGGUGAGGUAACGGCUCACCAAGGCGACGACGGGUAGCCGGCCUGAGAGGGGGACCGGCCACACUGGGACUGAGACACGGCCCAGACGCCUACGUGAGGCAGCAGUGGGGAAUAUUGCACACAGGGCGCAAGGCUGAUGCAGCGACGCCGCGUGAGGGAUGAAGGUCUUCGGAUUGUAAACCUCUUUCAGUAGGGACGAAGCGAAAGUGACGGUACCUAAAGAAGAAGCACCGGCUAACUACGUGCCAGCCGCCGCCGUAA
rnacentral:rRNA from 1 species